rnacentral:rRNA from 1 species
AGAGUUUGAUCCUGGCUCAGGAUGAACGCUAGCUACAGGCUUAACACAUGCAAGUCGAGGGGAAACGACAUCGAAAGCUUGCUUUUGAUGGGCAUCGACCGGCGCACGGGUGAGUAACGCGUAUCCAACCUGCCCACCACUUGGGGAUAACCUUGCGAAAGUAAGACUAAUACCCAAUGACGUCUCUAGAAGACAUCUGAAGGAGAUUAAAGAUUUAUCGGUGAUGGAUGGGGAUGCGUCUGAUUAGCUUGUUGGCGGGGUAACGCCACAAGGCGACGAUCAGUAGGGGUUCUGAGAGGAAGGUCCCCCANAUUGGAACUGAGACACGGUCCAAACUCCUACGGGAGGCA